GCCACAGCCCCGGUACCAUCCCCGGUGCCCAGGAGAUUGCCCCGGGCUCCUUCCCGGUCUCCCGCUGGCACAGCCUGUGUCGCUCAUGGAGCCGGUGACUAUGAAUUUCUCUACCUAAAUUGCUGAUUUACACAAUGAUCCACCUGAGCCGGGAGCUUUGGCUCCCCUCCGCCUGUCCCCAGGGGCUCUGUGCGGGGAUUGUGCUCCUGCUUCGCUCCCUCCCAGCUCCAGCAGCCUCUGCUCCCUCUGCCAUUCCCUUUCCUUAUCGUUUUCCUUCCAGUUCUGCAGCUUUUCCCUCUCCCCUCAGCUCUGUUUUCUGAUUAAAGCCCAUUAACUGCUCUUUAGCUCUCUUGUAGGUUCUUGCCGUGCUUGAGCAUGAAAAGCCAUCUGCAUUGUCAGGCACAGGGAUCUCCCCCAGUUUUUGGAUCAGGCUGAGCUGCCACCCUGAGCUCUCCCAGAGCUCUUUGGGCUUUGAAUACACAAAGUUUUGUGGCCUUUCAGAUCGUGGACACCUUCCUCAUCGGCCGUUUCAUCCUCCUGGCUGUGAUGAGCCUGGUCUUCCUUGGCUGCCUGUUCCUGUU